CCAGAGUCUGCUUUUAGUGGUGGGAAUGGUGGUAGGUUAACUCAAACUAUGAUGAUAAGAAGGCCUGAGAAGGAAGCAUAUAUAGAAGAAAACAAAGCACCUGGAUCAUUUGGACACCUGGAUCCAGCCAUUCCUGAUAAGUGCUUUGGAUUGACAACUGUGGCCUGGCAGCUAGAGCAGGUAUGUCUAGCCAAUGAAUCGUGAUGCCUUCUGUCACCUGCACUCCCUGGGAAUUUAGACAGAUCAAUCGAUCCCUCUUUCGAACCAGCCAUCUCUACUGGCAAAGGAAAAAGUCUGCGCCAGGGUUUCUGACUCCUUAAGCAGCUUCCUCACCCAGCCGGCUUCUUCUGCAAUUUCAUGGAUAAAGGGAGGCCCUAAGGCCUGAGCGUUUCAGUUCCUUACCAGCAACUGCGAAAUCCGACGGCAAAGAGUUCUGUGCAAAAGACAACCAGAUGCCUUUGGACACAGAAAUUAAUCACUUACAGUUCAAAAUAAGUGAUCUUUAUUUUUCAAAGAUACAGGUGAAUUUGAAUAAAGAGCAUACAGGCAUUUUUUUGGUACUGUUCUUGCAAUUUUUGAUAAGAUUAAAAUAAAUAAAAUGUUUUGAGUACUGGAGAAAGUAAGGUACUUUAAAUUUGUCAUUUGGAUAAGGUACAAAUUUGGGGAACCAUUGCUCUGUCUUGUAGAAAGCCCUUAUCUGAGCAUAUGAAUAGCACGAAUAGCAUUUUUCCUUGAUUCCUGUUACUGACAGAGAUUUUCUCCCAUUUUUUAAAACACUUAUUAGAUGGGGUGCCUGGGUGGCUCAGUUCAGUUGAGCGUCAGACUUCAGCUCAGGUCAUAAUCUUGUGGUUCGUGGAUUCGAGCUCUGUGUCGGGCUCUGUGCUGACAGCUCGGAGCCUGCUUCGGGUUCUGUGACGCACUCCCUCUCUUUCUGCCCCUCCCCUACUUGUACUCUCUCUCUCUCUC